rnacentral:rRNA from 1 species
CCCUAUCCUCUGUGGGCGUAGGAAAAUUGAGGGAGGCUGCCCCUAGUACGAGAGGACCGGGGUGGACGGACCUCCGGUGUACGGGUUGUUAACCAAUAGCAUUGCCCGGUAGCUGAGUCCGGUCGGGAUAACCGCUGAAAGCAUCUAAGCGGGAAGCCCAUCCCAAGAUGAGUUUUCCUUUCGGUAAGACCCCUUGUAGACUACGAGGUUGAUAGGAUGCAGAUGUAAGUGCUGUAAGGCAUUCAGUCGAGCAUUACUAAUCGGUCGAGCUCUUCUUUUCUUUAAUAUAUUUU